rnacentral:lncRNA from 1 species
AUAAUUAGGAAAGUUGAUAAGCAGACCGCAUUAUUGGAUGCAGAUGAUCCUGUGUCACAACUCCAUAAAUGUGCAUUUUACCUUAAGGAUACAGAAAGAAUGUAUUUGUGCCUUUCUCAAGAAAGAAUAAUUCAAUUUCAGUUGAAUGGCGGUGGGGACGUAGCAAUGCUUGAACUUACAGGACAGAAUUUCACUCCAAAUUUACGAGUGUGGUUUGGGGAUGUAGAAGCUGAAACUAUGUACAGGUGUGGAGAGAGUAUGCUCUGUGUCGUCCCAGACAUUUCUGCAUUCCGAGAAGGUUGGAGAUGGGUCCGGCAACCAGUCCAGGUUCCAGUAACUUUGGUCCGAAAUGAUGGAAUCAUUUAUUCCACCAGCCUUACCUUUACCUACACACCAGAACCAGGG